rnacentral:rRNA from 1 species
UACAGAGGGGGCAAGCGUUGUUCGGAGUUACUGGGCGUAAAGGGCGCGUAGGCGGCCUGUUAAGUCGAACGUGAAAUCCCCGGGCUCAACCCGGGAACUGCGUCCGAUACUGGCAGGCUUGAAUUCGGGAGAGGGAUGUGGAAUUCCAGGUGUAGCGGUGAAAUGCGUAGAUAUCUGGAGGAACACCGGUGGCGAAGGCGGCAUCCUGGACCGAUAUUGACGCUGAUGCGCGAAAGCCAGGGGAGCAAACGGG